CUCUCCUCUGGCAUGAAGGCGCGGCUGAGAGGCACGAACAGUUUCUGGCCUUCCCCUGCCAAUGCCAAAGGAGAGCACGCACAGUUUCCAGAUACUGGUGGUGUUUUCAGUGGAUCGUUGUCGAGUGUGCACUAAGCGAACGAAGGUUAUAUAUAUCCAUGGAUGUGGUUAUUAUACAUCUUUCUCUGCAUCUUACAUUUCACGCCUCCGCCAUCUAGACAAUGUCGUCUAACUACCUGCCACAAGAACAAGGUAAAAGUGUAACUAACACUAUUUUUCAAAACCACGGUUUAUAAUACCACAGUUUACGAAUGCUAUGACACAACCAUGAUAUAUUUUACAUCAGCAUAAUCCAACA
rnacentral:lncRNA from 1 species